CGAACGGGUGAGUAACACGUGGGCAAUCUGCCCUGCACUCUGGGACAAGCCCUGGAAACGGGGUCUAAUACCGGAUACUGAUUGUCUUGGGCAUCCUUGAUGAUCGAAAGCUCCGGCGGUGCAGGAUGAGCCCGCGGCCUAUCAGCUUGUUGGUGAGGUAACGGCUCACCAAGGCGACGACGGGUAGCCGGCCUGAGAGGGCGACCGGCCACACUGGGACUGAGACACGGCCCAGACUCCUACGGGAGGCAGCAGUGGGGAAUAUUGCACAAUGGGCGCAAGCCUGAUGCAGCGACGCCGCGUGAGGGAUGACGGCCUUCGGGUUGUAAACCUCUUUCAGCAGGGAAGAAGCGAAAGUGACGGUACCUG
rnacentral:rRNA from 1 species